AACCAUAGAAACCUGCGGAGUACCUGCGGAGGGAUCAUUAUAGUAUAUGGAAUCUCCAUUCUAUAAACCCACUCUGCGUAUCUUGUAACUGUUGCUUCCAUGGGACUUGGUUCCGCCACACCGGCUUCACGGCUGGUGAGCGCCCAUGGAAGGAGAAACAAAACUCUUCUUUGAAAUGUAGUCAGUCUGAACAAGUUUUUAUAACGUUAAAACUUUUAGCAAUGGAUCUCAGAUCGGAAG
rnacentral:misc_RNA from 1 species